UACAGAGGUCUCAAGCGUUGUUCGGAUUCAUUGGGCGUAAAGCGUCUGUAGGUGGCUUUUUAAGUCCGCCGUCAAAUCCCAGGGCUCAACUCUGGACAGGCGGUGGAAACUACCAAGCUGGAGUACGGUAGGGGCAGGAGGGAAUUUCCGGUGGAGCGGUGAAAUGCGUAGAGAUCGGAAAGAACACCAACGGCGAAAGCACUCUGCUGGGCCGACACUGACACUGAGAGACGAAAGCUAGGGGAGCGAAUGGG
rnacentral:rRNA from 1 species